rnacentral:rRNA from 1 species
UACGUAGGGACCAAGCGUUGUCCGGAAUCAUUGGGCGUAAAGAGCGUGUAGGCGGCUUGUUAAGUCUUGCGUGAAAUCUCGGGGCUCAACCCCGAGCGGUCGUGAGGAACUGGCAGGCUAGAGUGCGGGAGAGGAGAGUGGAAUUCCUGGUGUAGCGGUGAAAUGCGCAGAGUAUCAGGAAGAACACCCGUGGCGAAGGCGGCUCUCUGGGACGGUACUGACGCUGAGACGCGAAAGCGUGGGGAGCGAACAGG